GACGAACGCUGGCGGCGUGCCUAAUACAUGCAAGUUGAGCGCUGAAGGUUGGUACUUGUACCAACUGGAUGAGCAGCGAACGGGUGAGUAACGCGUGGGGAAUCUGCCUUUGAGCGGGGGACAACAUUUGGAAACGAAUGCUAAUACCGCAUAAAAACUUUAAACACAAGUUUUAAGUUUGAAAGAUGCAAUUACAUCACUCAAAGAUGAUCCCGCGUUGUAUUAGCUAGUUGGUGAGGUAAAGGCUCACCAAGGCGAUGAUACAUAGCCGACCUGAGAGGGUGAUCGGCCACAUUGGGACUGAGACACGGCCCAAACUCCUACGGGAGGCAGCAGUAGGGAAUCUUCGGCAAUGGACGAAAGUCUGACCGAGCAACGCCGCGUGAGUGAAGAAGGUUUUCGGAUCGUAAAACUCUGUUGGUAGAGAAGAACGUUGGUGAGAGUGGAAAGCUCAUCAAGUGACGGUAACUACCCAGAAGGGGACGGCUAACUACGUG
rnacentral:rRNA from 1 species